rnacentral:rRNA from 1 species
UACGGAGGGGGUUAGCGUUGUUCGGAAUUACUGGGCGUAAAGCGCGCGUAGGCGGACUGGAAAGUUGGGGGUGAAAUCCCGGGGCUCAACCCCGGAACGGCCUCCAAAACUAUCAGUCUAGAGUUCGAGAGAGGUGAGUGGAAUUCCGAGUGUAGAGGUGAAAUUCGUAGAUAUUCGGAGGAACACCAGUGGCGAAGGCGGCUCACUGGCUCGAUACUGACGCUGAGGUGCGAAAGCGUGGGAGCAAACAGG